rnacentral:rRNA from 1 species
AGCGAACGCUGGCGGCAGGCCUAACACAUGCAAGUCGAACGAAGCCUUCGGGCUUAGUGGCGGACGGGUGAGUAACACGUGGGAACGUACCUUUUGGUUCGGAACAACUCAGGGAAACUUGCGCUAAUACCGGAUGAGCCCUUAGGGGGAAAGAUUUAUCGCCGAAAGAGCGGCCCGCGUUAGAUUAGCUAGUUGGUGAGGUAAAGGCUCACCAAGGCAACGAUCUAUAGCUGGUCUGAGAGGAUGAUCAGCCACACUGGGACUGAGACACGGCUCAGCCUCCUACGGGAGGCAGGAUGUGGGAAUCUGUCGCAAUGGGUGAAAGCCUGCCGCAGCCCACCCGCGUGAAUGAUAAAGGUCUUAGGAUUGUAAAAUUCUUUUACCAGGGACGAUAAUGACGGUACGUGGAGAAAAAGCCCCGGCUAACUUCGUGCCAGCCGCCGCGGUAAUAC